GAGAGAGAGAGAGAGAGAGAGAGAGAGAAAGAGAAGAGAAAGAGAUAGAGAAAGAAAGAAAGAGAGAAAGAGAGAGAGAGAAAGUAUUUAGACAAAAGUAAGAAUGAAAUCUUUAGAAAUGAAUUGCUUGGAAUUUCUUUCGUACGUUUUCCCGACAAGUAUCUCGUGUAGAACGUUAAACAAAGAUUUUGACGUUCACUUGUUUAACGAACGAGGGAGCGGCUCUUUCAAACGUUUCGAUAAAAGUCGUCAUGGUUUAGUGUGUAUACGUGUGUCUAUCCUGUGUGUAUAAGUGUCCAUGGUAAGGUAAUAUACAUAGAACCCGAUAUAUAUGUCGUUCUACAAUAUUACCGUUAGAAACUUUUCACAAUAAACCGUAACCAUCUCUACCUACUGUGCUCUACACCUAUUCAAUGUAUUACCUAGAUAAAUUGAAAGCUUGUCACGACCACAGGAGGACUCUGUCGUAACAAAUCGAGAGUCGUCUCUUUUUAUCGUUUUCCACGUAGUUCGGACAAUGGAAUCUUUUUUCUUCUUCUUUUGCUGUGGUUUUUUUCUUUUUUCUUUAUCUUUUUCUUCUUCUUCUUCUCCUUUUUUUUCCCUCUUUUUCCUUUUUUUUUUUUUUUUUUUUUUUUUGUAUUACGCAUUAACGUCGUACACGAGUAGUAUUCUUAAAGUUUUAAUUUUUCACGUAAAAAUUUGUUCCCAAGAAAACACGAAGAUUCGCAUUGUACGUCGAAAUGACGAAUAUUUGACGGGACAUUUCAUUUUUCUUUUCUUUGUUUCUUCUUCUUCUUCUUCUUUCUUCUUUUAUUAAACGAUAUUUUUCACGAUCGUUUCUAACGAUCCUCACAUUCCCGCGAAAAUUCGUUCGAUACGAAAAUCAAAAGUUUCGAACUAACCUUAUUGUAUGUUGAAACGAAGAUAAUUUAACACGAAACUUCAUUUUUUUCUUUUCUUUCUUUCUUUUUUUUUUUUUUUUUCUCAAAUGCAUCGAUCGAUCAAAGCUAGCGAAGAAAAAUUUUCUUUUUCUUUUCUUUUCUCUCUCUCUCUCUCUCUCUCUCUUUCUCCUACACGUUUUAUCUUAAUAAAUACUUAAUCAUUUAUCCAAGAGUUCGAUAAAUAUAUUUUGCAAUAAUAUUUGCGUCAGAUUUUACGCGUUCUUACGGGAUACGCGAAAAAAGUAUCUGAGGUCAAGAUACAAUAUUACGUUAAUAGAUUUCAAUACUUGAUUAGAUUUCAUUAAAAAUAUUAUCACGAGACAUAUGUUUUUAUGCGAGUUAUAAUAUCUCAUUUCUUUUCGGCAAUGUUUCUUUUUGAUUGGUUAAAUCAUCUUUGUUUGAAUUUAAUUGGUAAGAUUGACUUUCACGAAUCAAUUAGAUAGUCGGGAGACGGUAGUGAACGCCAUCUAAGGAGAAUUUUCUAAAUCAAUGAUCGUCUUUUGUUUUCGAUCCUUCAUUUCUUCAACGACUCGAAAGCAGUUUUCAAAUAAUCCCACGAAAUUUUUGGAUUUCUUUUUCCAUAGAACGUAAGGACAGAAAAUGUGUUAAAGAAAUCAUCGAGUUUUCAAUCGUUCACACGAGAAAGGUUCGUUCGGAAAGUUUGAAAAGUUAGAAGUGGAUAUCGGAAUUUUCUCAGAAAGAGUAGAAGAAAAAAGAAAAAGAAGAAAAAAGGAAGACAUGGAAGAAAAAGAAGAAGAGGACGGAACAAAGUCUGAACGUUGAAUCAUAGAAAUAUAUAUUAUCAUCGUGAAGUCAAGGGAAUAUAUUUGAAAAUAGAAUGCAAUUGAAUAUUAUUAGACAUAUGAAUAAAUUUUACUGAGUAGUAAUUUCCCACUGUCUCGUCAUAGGGAAUUUGUUUGGCUCACGACUAUAGUUCACCUUGGACUGAAGGAAUGAUUUGUCGGAAAACGAUGGAGCUGAUAAAGCCGACAGGUAUACGAGAAUUCUAUAAAAAAAAAAAAGAAAAAAAAAAAAAAGAAAGAAGAAGAAGAAGAAGAGAAAAAUCUACAGUUCGGAAGAAUUCAAAAAAUUCUUGGAAAAAGAAAAAAUAAGGAGAACAGAGAGCCAUCACAAAAGAAAAUCAUAUUUUCCGUCUUUUCGUGAGAAGAAAAAAAUAAGGAUGGCCUUGUGAAAAAAAAAGUGCUUGGAAAACGGAGAAGACGAUUCUUUGGAGAUUAGACGACAGCAACGACUGGGACGACGAUGAUGAAGACGCCGACAAGUAAUAAUCUGAAGUUGUUUCUCCAAGAAACAGCUUCCCUCUUCCUCCCGCCUCUUGUCCCCUUCUCCUACCCUUAAACGUACCCCCAAAAAAGAGGGAAGAAAAAGAAGAACAAGAAGAAGAAGAAGAAGCUUUCUAUGAUGUUCCUUUUUUCGGCUCGUUUCCCUAUAUCAUAAGAAUAAUGAGCAAGUUCCAGGAGAGAAAAAGAGAGAGAGAGAGAGAGGGAGAGAGCAUGUGUGAUAAAAAGAUAACAACAUAUGCUUGGUAAAAACUUAUUGCUUUCUUGGAAUGUUAAAAAGCAGAAGAAAGAUGGAAAAUGUGUACAUAUGUGAUACGUGCAAGUUAAAUAGGCCAUUUCUUUCUCUCUCUCUUUCUCUCUCACAUUUACUCUGCACUCUUACAACAAUGAUUAACAUAGGAUAAAGAAAGACAGAGAGACAGAGACUACUCUUACGUGAGAAAGGAAAAAUUAUGCUGGCGAUAAUGAACGCUGGCGAUAAAUGAAGAGACAAAAGGAACAGAUAUAUUUUCAUCAAGAUUGAAAAUAUUAAUUAUUUGUCGAUCUUAUUUAAUUGUUAAACUAUAACAAAAAUAAUCACUCACUUGUAUCUUCCCUUAUUCUUACUGACGACAAAUGAACGGAAGAUAAACUAAAAAAAAAAAGAAGAAAAAGAAACCAAGAGAGAUAAAAUUUGGAUUAAAAUUGAAAUGAAAUAAUGUAACAUAGUCUCUCGUCAAAAUACAAUUGUGCAAUACAGAUUUAUUCGAAGAAAAGUAUCGAUCAAUUAAAGAGACAUUAAUCGUUCUAUUUCAAUUGUAUCUAAUUGAGAUCAAAAAUAUUGAAAGUAAAGGAAAGAAUGGGAAUGAAUAUAUAAAAAUGUUAUCGUGCAAAUUGAAAAUCGAUAAUUACGAGAAAAUAUUGUAAAACAGUGUACAAAUCGAACGUUAGUGGGUUCCUGUUUUCUAAUGUAUUUUCCACGUAUUUUAACGACGAGAGUAUCGCGUACGACGAGUGUCACGCGAAGCUCUUUUUCUUUCUAAGAAAAACAAAUAACAAAACGAACGAACGAACGAACGAACGAAGAAAAAGAAAGAAGGGAAGAAAAGGAUAUUAAAACAAAAAAAAGAAAAAGAAAGAAAGAAAGAAAAAUGAACGACCAAGAAGAGGGUUAUUGUAAAAUUGUAGCAGAGUGAUGUUGAUGGUGGACAGGAUUGAUAUAACGGUGGUGGGGGUGGUGAUGGAGGUGGUGAUGAUGGGAGGUGGUAGUAAUGGUGGUGACAGCAGCAGGGUCGUUCCGUGUACACAUACGUUAUAAAGUGAAAGCAACAUGCACCGUUCGAGUUCCUCGAAAUCGAUCGGUAAUUUCCGGGGAGAGGUGACUUCACUCAGGGAUUCCAUCGAAGUCACGCUUUCUCGUUUCGUUUAAUAUACAUACACGUGUAUAAUGUAUACGUGUGUGUAUAUACCUGAAUAAUCCUACGUGAUAUAAAUCGACGAAGAAACAACGUUCGAAAUACUUAUGUACAUAUAUAUAUAUAUACAUAAAUAUAUCCAUAAAAACCUGAAGGAAAAGGAUGGACUAUACGACUUUAUGGGAUUCGUUAUCACCGGAAGUAACGUUAACUAGAACACUAAUAAGAAUAUCUAAAACAUAAGCUUCAGAAAAAGAAUAGAGAUUGGAAUAAUCAGAGGUCAGAUGUCAACGCGGAUGUGUAAUUCCCCCUUCCGUAUUAACACGGUGGAGUUACACGGUAAAAUCUACAAGGGUUUGAAGGAGUACUUUUAAAUCAUGUAGAAGUGUCCUCUUCUUUUGAAGGAAGGAAGGAAGGAUAGAAGAAAGGAAAUGAAGAAAACAAAAACAAUAAAAACAAAAAAAAAAGACAAAAAGGAAGAAGAAAUAAAGUGCGAGUUGAGGGAUGUCAACUAAGAGAAGGGUAAACACAAAAAAAAGAAUGAAAGGGAGAACGAAAGAGAGAGAGAGAGAGAAAGAAAGAGAGAGAGAGAGAGAGAAAGAAAGAGAGAGAGAGAGAGAGAGAGAGAGAGAGAGAAGAAAGGGAAAAAAAGAAGCACUUAAAAAAAAGGGUAAGAAACGAAGUACGUCCUAGUACAGAUGGAGGAAAGGCUCCUAUUAUUGUAAUACAUAUAUCAGUGUGUUAUGGACCCAUGGCGGCGCGUCAUCUACACUUAUGAACGACGACGACGACGACGACGACGACGACGACGACGACGGCGGCAACGACAACGACGUGCCAGUAAGUGGAGAGUUAAAACUCUCCGGCUCGGAGUCACGAAACGGCACGAAGUAGCACGAGAGAAGAGUUGCAAAAGAGAACGAAGCGAAUUCACAUUCGCAUCUCUCACGAAGAAUCCCUGCCCUGAAAGUUCCUACCGCACAAAUCCUUUACUUCACCUCUAUCUCUACCUCUUCCUCCUCCUCCUCUUGCUCCUCCUCCUUUUCUUCUUUCUUUUUCUCUUCAUCCUCUUCCUCCUCAUUAUUUUCAUCUAACCCCAGAGCUAAUCUCUCGAUUAUUAUUAUAUCAUUGUUCUUUUUAAUAAUGAAAUCUAAUUAUAUUCGUUCAUCUGACGUAUAGUUAUAGAUUUUUCAUUUAUUCGAGAACAAUUGUUACAAUUUUGUUUCGUUUGCACAUUCCUAAAUCAAUAAAUUAUAUUUCUUUUUAUUUCUUCUUACUUUUUGUUUUCUUUUAUAGGUUGUUGGUUUAUUUAUCUAUUUAUUUUUUGUAUAGGUUAGCAAAUAAAGUGUAUCACAAUACAAGGGACACCCUUUUUUAAGGAAAUUAUUACAUUUCUCAUUCAUUCGACAAUCGUAUAAUUUAAUAUACAUAAGUGUUUAUCUGAUGUUUAUAUUAUGUUUUAUUCUGAUGUUUGUAUUGUUUCUUUUUUCGUUUUUUCUUUUUCUUUUUUGUAGGUUAACAAACAAGAUGGAUAAGAAAGGGACGCCAUUUUUUAAAGGAUUAAUACUUUUUGUAUUAGAUCGUUCAAUUAAUUUCAUUUC